CACAUGGAUUAUUCGGGCUUAGAUUUUGCUAAAUUGAAAUAUACUAAUGCAUAUCUCCUACUAAUUCAGAGGGAUCAAUCCCAUCUUGACUCACACACCGAUUUGAUAAGUACUUGACUGCACCUAAAAAUCUUCUAUCACUAAAUUAGAAAAUUAUUUAGUCCAACAUCAAAGUACAGUGAGUUGCUUAUAAGUCAUCAUGGUGAUCUCA
rnacentral:lncRNA from 1 species